UUUGAGAUAAUGUUAUAGUUGUGGAUAGUAUUUAUAAAUUUUUCAAAGUAUGCAAGUUUUAUAUAAUAUUCGAUUGGUUGGAGAAUAUUCUUUUUGUCGGAGAAUAUCCGUACGACGGUACAAUCAUUGGUGGACCCCCACAACGGAAUUAUUGUCGGAUUGAGAAAACGACAAAAAUAUUUUUAUGAAAAUAAAGGCGAAAGUUUUACCAUUAAAACUGUUGAACUACUCGGUAGUAAAAGUAUAGUAAUACGUGUGGUUGCAUAGUAGCACACGGUAUUGAUUAUUGAUGCUUACGUGAGAAGUCACUCAGUUUUGUUCAAUUAUUGCUACAGUAAUUGAUGCAUAGUAUCUCAC
rnacentral:lncRNA from 1 species